GGAUAUGUAGCUUAUUGAUAAGAGCGUAGCAGUGAAGUUGCUAAGGAAUUAUGUUUUAAUUAUAUCUA